UAAGAGUUCUAUGUCUUCAUCCAAAGGCUGCUAGUGGAAGACUGACUUCCAGGUAAAUAGGGUGAGGAUCUUAUGCCCACACCCACAGUGACACACCCAUCCCAACCAGGUCACACCUAUUCCAACAAAGCCACACCCCCAGAUGGUGCCACUCCCAGGUCCAAGGAUAUACAAACCAUCACACCUCCAGAGUACAUUUCUGAAGUCUGAGAAAUUUGUUCACUGUAGAUUUUUUUUUUCAAAUUGUCUCAGUUCAGUAGAGAAUAGAAUAUUUUUUUUCAAAGUCACAGGUUUGUGGCCAGAACAUAUGAAUCAUAACCUCCUCCCACACCCCACUAAAAUCCUUCCAUCUCCACUUCUGGCUGUCAGACUUUCAGAAAGCUAGUUAAUGUCCAGAUGCUUCAUUCUCUUCUGUGAAAUGGGGAUAAGAGUAGUACCUAGCCCAAUGGCUCACCAGGAGACUAAGUGAGAUAAUGUAUAUAAAACACUGAGUAGGUACCUGGCAUACAGGAGGUGCAAAGGGCACUGUUUAAUUGCCGUGUUCUUUAUGGCUUAUAUGUUGGUGUCUCGGUUAAGGAAUCAUCCCUUACCCUGAAGCUAUAGUUCUCUCUCUGACAGCUUCUAAUUUGUUAGUUAACUUGUUCUCCUUAGUAGAGUUUUAAAAGUCUUUUUGGCUGGUUUUUAAAUUCCAUUUCCCUACUUAUGUUUUGAAGUUUCUAUUCUGUUUUUAAUACUCAACAAUUGUAAAUGAUGUAUGCUCCAUAUUUAAAUUCUAUUUCAAGUGCUUCGUAUGUCUGUAGGGAGACCCUUGCUUGAUUUUGUUGCUCUUUAGACAAGAAACCUUUUUAUUUUUCUUAAUCUUUUUGUAUUGGUUUUAACAGAUUUAAAAUUUUUCCUGGUAACUUUCCUGGUGAUGAACUUUGGCUUGGGUUGAAAUCACAUUCCUCCAGAUAGAGUAGGUAUCCACUGACCAGGGUCUUUCUUGUCACCACACUGUUUAUGAAUAGUUUUGUAGAAAACAUGUGUUAUGAGUUGGAUAUGUUUUCUUUUCCAGAGGUUUCUAUGCAGGAGGCUUGGUCCUCCAUGUGGCAGGGUGGAGCGAUAGCAGACCUCCAAGGGGGCAAGGCUGGUAGAAGGAUUACAUUACAUUACAGUGUGCUAGCCUCAGCAGUGUCUUACCCCCUUUCCAGGGGUGUGUCAAGUGUCCUAUGAGAGAAAUAGUUCCAUUGACUUAUAACAUCUAUCUUGGCUCUCUGUAUAUGGCUUUCUUUCCAAACCGUGGUCCUUUCUACAUGUGGCCUGUUCUCCUUACUAUUUCCUGUCACAUUGUAACCCCAACCCCCUGGAAACCCUGGGACCUAGGUCAUUAGUACAACACUUUAUGAAUUUUUCAGCCAGCAGAGUCUUGAGUUGGAUAAAUUUAUACAUACAUUACAUGAUGUCAAGUGUUGCUAUAGCAGAGAAAUGUGUACUAAGUCAGCAUAAGUAUUUACAAGUAUUUACCCCAGACCCUUGAAGGCUGUCUUAUUAUUCAUCCCUGGGUCUCUAUGUAGCGCUACAGCCUAGUUGGUGGUGAGCCUUGCUACCUCAUUUGCUUGUGUGUCAGGAUCAUUUCUUAUUUACCCUUUUUCUCUUGGAGGGGGAAUUCUGAUGAGUGGAGGCAGAAAUUUCUCUUGUUUUCCAUACUCAGAACUCAUGCAAUCCACGUUGGGUUUUAGGGUUCAAGGAAAGCCCAUGGGGGAGGGCUGGCCUAUGCUGUUUACUCCUUUCCCCGAAAUUCUUAAUUUCAUUCAGCUUUGGACUCUGUAGUUUCCUUCCAUGCUAGUUCAGCCUUGGAUUUGAAGCUUGUGUCUGUGUAUUUUCAGCCCAUUCUUAGUUGCUUCUAUCAGAAGUAUUAUUCACGUGAGUCAGGUUGCGCUAUUGAACAACAUGGAUAAUCUUCCAUCCUUUCUCAUAUCCGUAGGCCCACUUUCCCCGCUCUUCUCAUUUCCUUUCCUCUUUCCCCCCUCCCUCCCUUCUUCUCUUGGUUUGCUUGUAAUGCUCCAGCAAAGCCAGCUUCAUCCCAGAACGAGGAGGUAGGCAGAAUAAAGGUCUUCUAAGGAGGUGUGGGAUUUACUCAUUCUAGGACCAGCCUUUUUAUUUAUUGAAUCAUGUAAAUAAUACUGUGGUUCCUCAUAGCAAACUGCGGCGCUGUAUUCAUUAUUACAUCUACUGUGAACUGGGGAAUUAUCAUAAGCUAAAAUAUACAAACUUCCCUUCUGGGUAUUUAUAAAAUAAAUCACAUUUUAUAAGAAUGCAAACUGUCUAAGUGAAGCCUGCCUUAUCCGUAAGCUUUCUGAUUGUAUUUGGUCUCACUCCUGUGGGCCUGCCUUUCAUCUAUCUAAUCUUUGGAUAUUCCAAAGUUUCUUAGGCAUUUCUGAAGUCUGUUUUCGUGGGAUUAUUAUAAACCUGCUGUUUUAAAAUCUCGUUUUAUUCUCAAAUCUCUAAAUUGACUCCUAUGCAAGGAACUUUUUCUCUUUUGAGAAUCAUAAGAGUUAGUCUAGUCUGGAUAGCAGUUAUCAAAUUAUUUUAAAAGCCGUGUGGUUAUUAUAGGUUGUUCUUAGAAAUGAUGUCUUGGUAGAGUUGAGAUUUUCUCAUCCAGAAAUAUGGGCUGAUCAAUCUUUCAAAGACCAUUCAUAUGAAUUUAGCCUAGAGCUGGCUAACCUGUGAUGUUCAUAAGUCAUUCAUUUACCAAACACAAUAUCCUCUGUGUGUCAGAGCCUGAGACUCUCUGAUAGAGACUCGAAAUGUAAUUAUGAAAUACACAUUCCUGACCUCCAGAAGUGGCUGGUUUAAUAGUAGUAGCAUGUAGGCCUCCCUAGUACUUGGUGUUCAAAGACAGAUAACGUGCCAUCCUCCCCGCACCCCCCCCGCCCCCUCGCUCCGUGUGUACCCUGGAGGCAUGGCAGGUUUAAUGAGUUUGCAAUAUUUAUAAAGUUGUGAUCCUCCCUAGUGCAGAGUAGUUUUGCCUUUUGAAAAUCAAGACCUGAAGGUACACUGUGAUAUUUAUUCAAUAUCUCUUUUAAAUGUGAUGCACAGUUCUUGGCGAUUUCUGUUAGUAUCUCUUGUUCUAUCUUGUUAUCGAAAUCUCCAAUUUCGGUUUCUUUAUUCUUUUGUAGUCCAUGUCCUCUCUCCACCCCACCCCUUACCAAGACAUGUUGCUUAUUCAAUCCUGUUUCUCCUCCUUUUGUGCUUACACCUCUCCUGGAAAUUACAGCUAUUCUCCUGGUUGCUCUUCUGUGCAACCCCCCUCCUGAGUAGUUUUGAAUCUUUUCAUAGAUGAAGGAUGGGAGAAAAAGCUAAGGAACAAGGGCAUGGUUGUGAAUAGUAUCAUGUUAAUCUCAACCUCACUUCUCCUUAUGUGAGCCUACGUGUUUUGAGCUACUCUUUUUUAUUUAAGGAGCAAUAAUAUUUUGUGGUCUGUGUGUGGGUAUUCAAAACUGUCAUCUCACAGAUCCAGAGAAAGAACCAUUACAAUUGAGAUUUCAAGUUGGUCAAUAAAGUGUUUGUGAGUGAGGCAGGGGUAGGGAAAGGAAAGGGCACCAUUGGAAAAGAGCUGGGAGAGUUAAAGGGCUAGAGGAGGAACUAAACCAUAAGUGGGAAUAGAGAACACAAGAUAAAAGAAAAAAAAAAGAUAAAAGGGAGAUAUGUCUGGGAAAUCACAGGGUUAUGGAUGUUAAACUUCUGCAUCAUCUGUUUUACAGAGCAUGACUUCUGGCAUCUAAGAUGCAUCUUCUUUCCUGUCCCGGUAGUCAAAAUCAUCCAGCAUGAAGUAGGUUAAGUUUUCUUCUGGUCUUGUGGUAGAGAUCUUGAUCUUGUCAAGUUCCUCUGUCUUGCUCUUAGAGAAGUCUGAUGUACUUUCCACUCAUAUUUUGACACUUUCAGCAUGCAAACCUGUCAUAUAAACAUUGUAUAUACAUAUAUGCAUACAUAAACAUAUAUACGUCACCAUAUUCAGAGCUUUACAUUGCUUACCUUGUUUUUAGAAAUAUAAAAAUACUAGUAAAAUCAUUCUUCUACAUUUUUCAAAAUUAAGCAGAUUGUUUCCGGGUUACAUCUGUGUUCUGUUCAUGUUAAAUUUUGUGCACCAUUAUAACACACGCAUUCAACUUUUUCUAUUGAGAGAUAUGAACUUGAUUUCUGUCUCUUUUACUCCCCCUUUGCUACUAUAAACAAUCUUUCGAUGAUGUCACAGGGGAAACUUCUUGUGAGCAUGUGUGUGCUUCUAUACUAAACUGGGUGGGAAGGAACGUCUGUGUAGCAGGCGUAUGCAGCUUCAAC
rnacentral:lncRNA from 1 species